UCCCAGUUAGUACAACGGUCAGUAUACGGCACUUUCACUGCUGAGAUCGGGGUUCGAUUCCCCGGCCGGGAA
rnacentral:tRNA from 2 species